GGAGUUAAGAAAUGUAAGUGCGCUAAUAUCGCAUUUAUUUGACGAAGGCUCCAAAGGAAGUCACGGCUAACUCUGUGCCAGCAGCCGCGGUAAUACAGAGGUGGCAAGCGUUGUUCGGAAUUAUUGGGCGUAAAGAGCACGUAGGUGGGUUUGUAAGUCAGAUGUGAAAGCCUUCUGUUCAACGGAAGAAUUGCAUCUGAAACUGCGAGUCUUGAGUGUAGGAGGGGAGAGUGGAAC
rnacentral:rRNA from 1 species